rnacentral:rRNA from 1 species
UACGUAGGGGGCAAGCGUUGUCCGGAAUCAUUGGGCGUAAAGAGCGUGUAGGCGGCUCGAUAAGUCUGCUGUGAAAGUCCAGGGCUCAACCCUGGAAUGCCGGUGGAUACUGCCGGGCUGGAGUCCGGAAGAGGCGAGUGGAAUUCCUGGUGUAGCGGUGAAAUGCGCAGAUAUCAGGAGGAACACCAAUUGCGAAGGCAGCUCGCUGGGACGUUACUGACGCUGAGACGCGAAAGCGUGGGGAGCAAACAGG